AAAAGACAGAAGGCUAAUGGAGGGUUUUAAAGAGGUGGAUGAAGCAGCAUGAAAGGAAGGUGACUUUUCCAGGAGUACUUAAGCCAAACUGUAUGUCUAUCCAGAUGUUCCUUUCAAGCCUACAUGAUUUAAAAUAUGCCCCAGGAGUCUGUAAUCAAAGUGCUCUGCAAAGUCAAAUGAGCAUUGUCAUCCCCAUAUUACAGAAGAGGAAACAGAAGCACAGAGAAGUUAACUGAUUUCCCUGAUGUCACAGAACAAAUUAAUGGCAGAGCCAGGAGCAAAAUGCGGGUACCCUGAAGCCCAUUCUGGUGCCUUAACAUAGGACCAUGCUGCCUCCCAGAAAGAAGAAACUGCUUCCCUGCCUACUGCUCCCCAACAAUGCUGAUAUAUGGGGCCUGGGAAUCAAACCUAGGUCGCAUAUAUCACAGGUUGCUAAGCCACACAGUUGAUCACAAAAAUGUAAAAUACAUUGCUAAAUUCACCUCUAGGGAAGACCGGAGUAGCUCCCUUUGACCCAGAUGUGAGCUUAGACCAGGACAGAGUUUGGUCUUCACCAUCUAAUUAUCCAAAGACAACAUGAAAAGACACACAAUUUUCCUUUGAUACUUCUCCACAUUUUUUUCUUCCUUUAUCCAGUAUUUAAUCACUGUUCUGAUUUUGAAGUGAAUUAUACAAGAGACUCAGUGGGAAGACAAACAAAUUUGUUAGAGCUUUUUCUGUUUCUUUUUUUAAGCUUCCUGUUAGCUUAAGCACAUUGUGUUCCUCUGUAUCACAUCCCUUUAGAGCCAUAUGUGGAAGUAAUAAAGUGUAUCC